AAAUGAUUUAUUUAUUUUUUAUUGUGAUUCAACUUAUAAAGAAUCUCAUAAAAAAUUGUGUUUUUCCUUAAACCAAAUAAUUUUCAGUUAUUUUGAGUUUUAACAUUGAUAAAAUUCAUUACAAGCUUAAUUUGUCUUAAGGUUAAAGUUGGUGCAUCAAGGGAAUAGAAUCCCCAACCAAACCAUUCUUAUUUAUAACAAAUCUAGCCAUCGAUUGCAAGAGCGUUUGAGUUUGGUUUGUGGUGGGCUCUUUAUACAAGAAAAGAGGAAAUAAAGAGUUCCCUGUAGAAAAUACAACCAGAGACCUCCAAAAAGUGCUCAAAAAACAGCAGCAACCCGCAGGCAACACAAAGCGAAAACAGGGGAUUCCAUCAACAACAAUUAUUUGAGAGAAAAGAGCACCUUUACAUUGAAGCAUAGAUACAGUUAAGAAUGCGCAUGAAGGAAAUAUAUAAUACGAAAAUCACUCUGAGAGAAGAAGAGCUUCAUUGACUUUGUCUUCUCCGAGAAAGACAUGUAGGAAAUAUUAUUCAAAAAUACUCUUGAGAGCUACGCAAUAUUCCUGGCAGUUGCUUCCAGAGCAGACAGUACCUCCCUAGCCAAUGGAAUUACAAUCUUCUGUACAAUCCCAUUGUCAUGCAUCACUAUAAUUAUGACCAAACGAUGUGAAAUAAGCUUUGAGCAAAUUGACUCUUAAGCUUCCACCGAUAAGCUUUAAAAGCUUUUGUGGUCCUUAAUUUCUCUCUCCUAUCUAAUUGACAACUUAUUCAUCCUUAGCCAUUAUAUUCUGUGCAUGAAAACAACAUUUGUGUCAAUGUUUUAUUCUUGAGGUCUUGGUGAUGUAUGCAAAGGCAGCUCAAUUCCGUUAAGCAAAUAUGUGGCUCAAACAGCCUGAUAGCAUCCCUUAUAAUUAA